rnacentral:snRNA from 1 species
AUCACUUCUCAGACUUUUGGCUAAGAUCAAGUGUAGGUAUCUGUUCUUGUCAGUUUAACAUUAAAGCUACUAGCUGGUACAGAGAACUAGGGUGUGCCCCUGGACACUUC